AUAAAACUUAACGAUCAUUAUGUUAAGCUAACGGAUGGGUCUUGUUCCCGUUCAUCAAAUUACAACACAUGUCUUUGGUUAGAAACUUAACAUCUUUGAUUAACGAGCUAGUCUAGUAGAGGCUUACUAGGGACACUGUGUUUUGUCUAUGUAUCCAUACAUGUAUCAAGUUUCCGGUUAAUACAAUUCUAGCAUGAAUAAUAAACAUUUAUUAUCCACACAUGUAUUAAGUUUCCGGUUAAUACAAUUCUAGCAUGAAUAAUAAACAUUUAUCAUAAUAUAAGGUAAUAUAAAUAACAAUUUUAUUAUUGCUUCUAGGGCAUAUUUCCUUCACUCAUCCCACUAUUCCGCUUGGCGCGAGGCUUCAACGGGACCUGCACGGUCUAUCCAUCAGCACAUUGACAUGAUUGUUACCAAAAUUCUUGUUCCUGCGAUCAAGCGGGAGGAGUACCGUGUAAAUUUCCGGCAUCCUGCUGUUGUGACAAGAAUGCAUCCUAUAACAAAAAUGUAUCCGACAUCCUCAAUCUCAAGCUAGAAAAAGAAACGAGUCUCUUACUUACUAUGAAAAAGUUACCAAUAUUUUUAUCAUUAACUUAAGACACAAAGCCUCUGGAUUGACAUGAGUAACAUGAAAGACUUUGGGAAAUAUGAAGAAAUUAGGCACAUUUUUUUUGCAUGACAUGAAGUAGAAGUAAAAAAAAUCAAAACGUCUCAUCUGGUAUUCAGUUCUGCAUACCAAGGUUGCAGUUAUACAAGUACAACAAUUAUUCAGACAAGAUCAGCAAGGAGAUGAGAGGAUGCCCUCAUAAUUAUUCUGAAAAUCGGUAGUUGGAGUCAACUUGCUUAAUUCUAUAUGCAUGCAUAUUCAAAACAACAUGGAGAAUUGUUGUAGGUUAGCUUGGGAGUACCUUUUUAACAUGGAGAAUCGUUGUAGGUUGGCUUGCUGAAUUCUGUGUGCAUGCAUAUUUUGCAGUUGAUUAUGCGGCAUCCUCAUAGUGCAAUCUUCUGCUGAUUCGUUGGGAGUACCUUUGCCACCUCAUCUGUUCAAUAUAAUACUCCUCCCAUACUGAACAUUGAAGACCGCAAUAUCAAUGAGAUCUCUGUCGGGGUCAAACACUUAAAGGUACUUUUGUUGUCGUUGCUAAUUUAUGAAUAUCAAUAUCAACAAUGGACCUAGUUGGGCAGAUGCAGGAGUAACUGUACUAUGAACCUUGUUUGAAAUAAUUGUGCAAUUAAUUUCCCACGAAGAUAAUUGAACGUUUCUUGUGUUGAGGAAAGAAUAGUCCACAUGGACCAAGCACAGCUGCAAUGGGUUGUCAGUCGCACACAUGCUGAUAAGCUUCCGUUGUGUCCUAAUCUAAGCAGCAGGCUAAUCACCUGAUGAUCUGAAAAGAUGACAUGAAUGUUCAGAGCUUGCAUGUGCAAUUCUACCAGUGUCUUCAGACCAACCUCCAGAGCAACCUGCACGAUCCAUCCAUCAGUGCAUUGACUGGAUUGUCAAAGUUGCCGACUUUGGUGUGCGACUGGGCACCGACGAUCG
rnacentral:lncRNA from 1 species